AUGCUUCUAAAAAGCAGUAAGUACGAAAUUAGAAACCCUGUCACAAUGGUGAACUCUCCAGACUGGAAGUGUUAAUGGGCUAAAUUUACUAAUAUAUGUGUUCGCGGGACAUAACACAGAGAGACGUAUAGAAAUGCUUGAUCAUUUUCGCCUAUCUGUUUAUGUAGGAACGGACAUAAUUAAGAUAAUUCAGACUUAAAUCAAAGAUGCAGCAGACAAUGUGUUAAAACUUGCUCCUUGAUCACAUGAUGACAAGACUUUGUAGUCCAACUUCUUUCGAACAACAAUAGUUAGCAUGUAUCUAGCUCGACCCUAAUUUGAGCUUCAAAUUUACAACUCUACUAACCUAAAAACCAAAGGCUAAAAGUCUAAAAGUGCCUACUAAAAAAAUUCUUUCAUGCUAUUCUAUGCUAUGUUUCCGAUGAUACGAAAAAGGAGAUCAAGUAAGAUGCUACGAAUUCUUAGAAAACAAGUUCGAAAAACUCACCCUGAUUCAGCAAUCGAUAACAUUGUUGAAGCACAGGGACAAACGGACUAAGUUUGUUGCGUUCAGACAGUAAAUCUGAUAGAUACCUGUCAAUAUGUACCAUUAAACCACCAUCAAACAUGAAAGAUGAACAAAAAAAAAUAAUAAUAAUAAACUUCACAUCAACCAAACCCCUUUCUUGCCAUUAAACAUGAGAUACUGAACAUAUAUCAACGACAACUAGCAUAUAACCCAAAACUGUAACCACUCGUCUAGAUAUAACACCAUUUGCGUAACAUUGACGACAAAUUAAGCAUCAGUUUUCAAAUUUUCCUGGAAGCCAACACGCAUCUGAUCAACCUUACGGUCCAAUUAUGAUGACAAAUACAAAUCUCGAUUGAACAUGAGAUGCUAAACAUUGGCAUUUGAUCGAAUACUAUAACCACUCUUUUAGAUAUAAUGCUGUUCAUGCAACAUUUACAACAAAUUCUGCAUCAGUUUUGCAAUUUCUCCAACAAAUCGAGAUGAGUAAAACGCAUCUGAUCGCAGUCGAAUUAGAUAACAAACACAAAUUUCAAUUAAACAUUAGAUAUUAAACAUAUUUCAAAACACAAUCAAACACUAUAAAUCUAUAACCACUCUUC
rnacentral:lncRNA from 1 species